rnacentral:rRNA from 1 species
CAGCCGCCGCGGUAACACGGAGGGUGCAAGCGUUAAUCGGAAUUACUGGGCGUAAAGCGCACGCAGGCGGUUUGUUAAGUCAGAUGUGAAAUCCCCGAGCUUAACUUGGGAACUGCAUUUGAAACUGGCAAGCUAGAGUCUUGUAGAGGGGGGUAGAAUUCCAGGUGUAGCGGUGAAAUGCGUAGAGAUCUGGAGGAAUACCGGUGGCGAAGGCGGCCCCCUGGACAAAGACUGACGCUCAGGUGCGAAAGCGUGGGGAGCAAACAGGAUUAGAGACCCCUGUAGUCCCUGUCUCUUAUAC